rnacentral:rRNA from 1 species
AUUGAACGCUGGCGGCAUGCCUUACACAUGCAAGUCGAACGGCAGCACGGGUGCUUGCACCUGGUGGCGAGUGGCGAACGGGUGAGUAAUACAUCGGAACGUACCUUAUCGUGGGGGAUAACGCAGCGAAAGCUGUGCUAAUACCGCAUACGCCCUGAGGGGGAAAGCGGGGGAUCGCAAGACCUCGCGCGAUUAGAGCGGCCGAUGCCUGAUUAGCUUGUUGGUGGGGUAAAAGCCCACCAAGGCGACGAUCAGUAGCUGGUCUGAGAGGACGAUCACCCACCGUGGGACUGAGACACGGCCCAGACUCCUACGGGAGGCAGCAGUGGGGAAUUUUGGACAAUGGGGGCAACCCUGAUCCAGCAAUGCCGCGUGAGUGAAGAAGGCCUUCGGGUUGUAAAGCUCUUUUGUCAGGGAAGAAACACCGGCUCUAACACAGUCCGGGAAUGACGGUACCUGAAGAAUAAGCACCGGCUAACUACGUGCCAGCAGCCGCAGUAA